GGAGUUAGCCGGUGCUUCUUCUGCGAGUAACGUCACAGAUGUAAGGUAUUAACUUACACCCUUUCCUCCUCGCUGAAAGUGCUUUACAACCCGAAGGCCUUCUUCACACACGCGGCAUGGCUGCAUCAGGGUUUCCCCCAUUGUGCAAUAUUCCCCACUGCUGCCUCCCGUAGGAGUCUGGGCCGUGUCUCAGUCCCAGUGUGGCUGAUCAUCCUCUCAGACCAGCUAGGGAUCGUCGCCUAGGUGAGCCUUUACCUCACCUACUAGCUAAUCCCACCUGGGCUUAUCCAUCAGCGCAAGGCCCGAAGGUCCCCUGCUUUCCCCCGUAGGGCGUAUGCGGUAUUAUCAGUCGUUUCCAACUGUUAUCCCCCACAAAUGGGCAAAUUCCCAGGCAUUACUCACCCGUCCGCCGCUCGUCAUCUUCAAAAGCAAGCUUUUGAAAUGUUACCGCUCGACUUGCAUGUGUUAGGCCUGCCGCCAGCGUUCAAUCUGAGCCAUAAUCAAACUCUGA
rnacentral:rRNA from 1 species